UACAACUUUCGAAUGCUUACCCUACUGG
rnacentral:piRNA from 1 species